UACGUAGGGUGCGAGCGUUAAUCGGAAUUACUGGGCGUAAAGGGUGCGCAGGCGGUUAUAUAAGACAGAUGUGAAAUCCCCGGGCUCAACCUGGGAAUGGCGAUGAAGACUGCAAGGCUAGAAUCUGGCAGAGGGGGGUAGAAUUCCACGUGUAGCAGUGAAAUGCGUAGAGAUCGGGAGGAACACCAGUGGCGAAGGCGGCACCCUGGACCAGCACUGACACUGAGGCACGAAAGCGUGGGGAGCAAACAGG
rnacentral:rRNA from 1 species